ACAGGAGACACAGCGCGAGACGGACUGGUGCCGCUGACCGGGGACAAGUUUACUGCCCCUACACAUAGAACAGGCGCAACAAAACACACUGCGGGAGGAUCACUUUGUUCCGGUACACACCCUUCAUGUUGUGGGAUUAAAGCGCGCAAAGACACACACGGGUGCGUAAAGUUGAUGCGCUUAUCCGCUUCUCCAGAGAACAUUACCACUGAGGUCCAGCAGAGAGUCUUUGUCUGCGGAGGCAGAACUGUGCAGCGCCGCUCGGCUGGAGACAUCGGGAGGAUCUCUGUGAACGCGCCACAUGCUUGUGGAUGAUAUGGAUUUGCUUUUGCUAUAGCCCAGAUUUGCCGCGGUUUUUUUUCCUAUUUAAAUAUUCAGUUUUUCAUCCUUGGACUGUGUGCGUAGUGACACUGUUAGAUUUUAUUUCUCUUUAACGAGCGCAGAGAUUUCAAGACUAAUCGUGCGGAAUUACAACCAUGAACUGUGUUGUCAGUUUGGUACACAUCCUUUUGGCAGCGGUUCUUCACCUUUCCACAGUAAAGACUGCCAGCAUUAACAAGGGAGCGGAGAAGAGUAAGAAUGAGGUCAUCCCUCUCACAGAUGUCCUCAUCAACAGUUUGUGCAAGCCCAGGGAGGUGCUGGUGGACAUCUUCCAGGAGUAUUCAGAGGACACGGAACACACCUACAUUCCCUCCUGUGUGGUGCUCAACCGCUGUGGAGGCUGCUGUAACGACGAAGCAUUGGAAUGUGUUCCUACGGAAACACACAACGUCACGAUGCAGAUAAUGCGUCAUAGACCAAUGGUAACGCAACACAUUAUUCAAUUAAGCUUCACAGAGCACACAUCGUGUAUAUGCAGACGAAAACCAGAUCUUCCAGUAAAGAAAGAAUAGUAACCACUGUGCGCCUUGCUCAGAGAGAAGAAAACGCUUGUUUGUGCAGGACCCUCUCACCUGUAAAUGUUCCUGCAAAUUCACACAGUUAGACUGCAAGUCCAGGCAACUUGAGUUAAACGAAAGAACUUGCAGAUGUGAGAAACCGAGGAGGUGAGACCAGCAACACUGUUAUGAAGGAAUACUUUUCUUGGCUCAGCACUUUGAAAACCUGAGGAUGCAUUCCCUGCCAGGACACGAAACGACAACGCAAGACAGGACAUUCUUAAACGCAACUCUUGCAAGUGUUUGUUUUCCGCCUAAAGAUAUUAAUAUAUAUGUACAUAUACUAAAAGUACAUCGACAAUGUGUAUUGCUGCUACUUAAAAAGAGACACUAUAUAAAGCAAAACGAAUGCGCCGCUGGCGUGUGAACGGGAAAUGUUUCAGUGGCGUUCUGCUCAUGGGUAGAAUUUGUAAGAGAUUUUAUGUGACAUUUCACUGGAUGCUGGUCUGCUGUGGAUAUCUUAAAAUAUUUUGUAGUAACAAAAACGAGCAGUGCAGCAGGAGCCAAGCUCCCCCUCCGAACUCUGACGAAGAAGAAGAAGAAGAAGAAGAAGAAGAAGAAGAAGAAGAAGAAGAAGAAGAAAAAAAGGAGCGCCUGUUGUACUUGAACUUAAAUGCAGGUCCAAGGACUGUUUCCUUCUGCGAAAUGAUGUGAAGCUUUGUCCCCACUGUAUGGACCGACUCUGUGUGGAAACACACCUGAAAAGGUCUCUCAGAGUUUCCUGAAGUCACUGUGGAUGCAGAUGAUGUGCCGUGGUGACGGAUAAAUGUGAAGAUGACCUUCUUUCCUCGUGGGAGGGUUACAUGACAAAGGCAGGAACUGAACCAAAGUGUAGCUAACGGUGAAGCCUAGCAAGAAAAUAGAUUUUAUGUUAAAAUUGGGUUAGGGUUAAGGUUUUUAUUUCAGGGUUAAAGUUAAGAAACCACUUCCUGGUUCUUGACCCGCCUCCUUCAUGUAACCCUUUCCCCCGAUGGGAACCUAGACAUGUCUCUCUCUUUGUGCACAGAGUUUAUUAUUUACAUUUUGAGGUAUUGUGUUUCUUUCACAAAAUGUCUUGCGACCAGGCUGUCUAAAGGGAUAUUACUGUAAGUAUAUACGGAGACAAGCAGUGAACAGACAAGCCGAUCACAUCAGAUCAGCACUCACUGUACAAAUCCACAAACUUCCUUAUUUAAUGGCUUUGUGUGUGUUCCAAAGAAAAAAAUCAGGCAUCCACAGAAAACAUAAACGAUCUGUAUAUACUUACUAGAUAUCCCUUUGUCUAGUACACUUCAUUUUUAUUUAUAGAAAGCGCUCAGUAUUCUGCAUACUGAUAUUUAUAUUCAGUGUUAAGGUUAUUUUUUAAAUUGUUUUUCGGAGAUUGAACGGAGAACAUGUAUGACUGUAGACUCCUUUUUUGUGGGAAAAAGGAGUGAUGCUUUGACAUUCCUGAUUUAAACUAAAGCUGUGUUUCUCAGAGGCUAGAGGGGUGGGGUGGGGGGCAAUUAUGGUGGGCCUGUUGACUGAUAUUAACCCCCCACCACCAACAUGUGCCAACACAGGUGUUUUUCAUUUUGGACUGGGGACAUGGACAUGUGGUUUUGCACUUGUUGGCCCAAAGGCACAUCAUAUGGGAGACUGAAGUAGUCUGCUGCUCAGCUCGGACCUAAUUUAGUGAAGACUGUCCAAUCAGACAGGGGCCUCCAGUCUGACGGUGGUAAACUGGCAAAGUGUCUCUAUGACCUCAACCCAGCCUCAUUCCCAAGUAUUACACUGAUCUGUGCUUCAGUAGCCACCCAGCACACAUGUCUUAUGCUACAUUUUGAACGUAUGAGAAAAGAGCUUCCUCAUUCAUGAGCCAUAAUAGAGGAAUAAAUAGGAUAUAAAGUUGAAAAUGAUGAAGAAACAAUAUAAUAUCAUUUUAAAAAUAAUUUACAGAUGUUUUAUAUUAUAUAAAUUAAUUUCAAUUUCAGGUCACUGAUGUGCCUCCAUAUAUAAUGUAUAUCGUAUAUCUGUCUCAGAUUGAUGAUUAGGAGCUGCGCUUCUACAUCAUCUAAUUCUGAUACUCUUUUUUUGUAGAGGCGGUACACGACUCAAAUUAGCCUACAAGAAAAAUUUGCGAUUUCUGAUAUUUAUCUAAUUACAUGUAGCCUGACAGUCAUUCAAAUGUGCACUAAAACAACUGAAACAUUACAUUUCAUUUAAAGGUCUCCUAGGUGGCUUGUACGGCAUUAGAAAGCACCGUAGUUGGUGGUUUCUAAUGCCGUACAAGCCACAAAUGACAUCAAAGAUGAACUUUACAUCAUUUAUGAACCGAAACCGAUUUCACCCAUUUUUUAGCAGCUUUCACAUACUUGGAUCAGGAGGGAAAGAGAGACAACUUUUUUUGCUGACACUUUCUGAGUCUCUUAACACACAGGGGAGACAUUAUAUAUAUAUAUAUAUAUAUAUAUAUAUGUAUUAAAGACAUACAAAAGUGCAUUUUGCACAAUAGGGGACCUUUAAAUAACAAAUAGUAAGUUCAACUUAAUAUCAUUGCUUUCAACUAACCUAAUACAGUUAUAUGACAUUUGUUGACAUUUAAUUAAAGUCAAUGUUUCUAAUUAGACUAGCUGCGAGGCCCUAUACAAUAUGUCAGCAGUGGUCCGAAGAGGGGUCGAGACUCAUAGUGAGUGAUCCGUUCCUGCUCAGACUUGAGUCAUUUUUCUGCGAUAUAGAGGUUGUAGCUGAGCGUCAGUCUGCCACCCUCACACUGAGGCCUGAGAGUGUUCCCUGAACACACCCUCCACUUCUCUGAUGACGACAACAUUCUAUUUGUAUUUAAAAGUGACAGACUUUUUCUUGAGUUUGUACAGCCACACAUUUUUAGUAUAUUUUCACGUUAAUAUAUUUAUUGCUGUAAAAUGUUUUACAAUAUUAAUACUCUUUUUGUUGUUUUUAGUGUAAGUAUUAAACAUAUUUAUUUUGAAAAAA